AGGAAUGUAACUCAGUUGGGAGAGUAAGUCAGCGAAUCCCCGGUUCGAUUCCGGGCCUAUCGAGGAUUGGAAAGUUGGUUCCAGCGGGCUGUGCGUGAGUUCGAUCCUCACCAUUCCUA
rnacentral:tRNA from 1 species